UGCAAAGGAGUGCUGAGUGUGUCCCGGCA
rnacentral:piRNA from 1 species